CAGCCGCCGCGGGAAAACCAGCACCUCGAGUGGUCAGGAGGUUUAUUGGGCCUAAAGCAUCCGUAGCCGGUUGCAUAAGUUUUCGGUUAAAUCUAUGCGCUUAACGUAUAGGCCGCCGAAAAUACUGUGCAGCUAGGGAGUGGGAGAGGUACACGGUACUCGAUAGGAAGGGGUAAAAUCCUUUGAUCUAUUGAUGACCACCUGUGGCGAAGGCGGUGUACCAGAACACGUUCGACGGUGAGGGAUGAAAGCUGGGGGAGCAAACCGGAUUAGAUACCCCUGUAGUCCCUGUCUCUUAUAC
rnacentral:rRNA from 1 species